UGGCCCCUUAGCUCAGUGGUUAGAGCAGGCGACUCAUAAUCGCCUGGCCGCUGGCUCAAGUCCAGCAGGGGCCACCAG
rnacentral:tRNA from 1 species